CCCAAAUACAACCUAACCCAUCAGCCCAUUUAAAACUUGACCCAGCCCACACUCUCAAUAAACUGUUCUCCCUCAACUUCAGAAAAUGAUAACAGCAAAACAUGACAAAGAGCAACUCAAUGAAAACCUCAAUCAAAAUCCAAUAACCCCAAGCCAAAAUACGGCAAACCCGUAUCCUGUGAAAUCCGUAUCCCGCGAAACCCGUACCCGUUCCACUUACUUUCAAAUGACAAAAACCUAGAAGCUUCCUAAAGUUGAUGCGCUAGCCCUCUUCAAUAUUUGAAUCCCGAGUUUCUUGGUUUGAUGUGUACGAUUUCGUGUAAAGUUGGCCAAUUCUCAUUGGUUUAGGGGGUGCAUUUAGUUGGCUUUUUUAAUUGGUCCACCGAUGCAAUUUCUGUGGAGAAAUCUAAAAAAAGGAGGUACGGAUUGAGGUUGAAAAGCCAUGGCAAGGGGGAAUUUUGAAUUUUGAAUUUCGAAUACCCUAUUUAUACGAAUCCCUAAUUUAUCUCUAUAGGCCUUUCUAUAUAUAGCUCAACAUAGAGCCAUUAAUGGGGUUUUUUUGGGCUAUGGGGGUUCAAAACUUUCGGGGAUGAAAAAAAGUUGGUUGGAAAUUUUGGGGUUCGAAAAUAUUUGAAAGGAAAGACAAGAAAAAAAAGGGAAAAAGAAAAGAAAGAAAUCAUAGGGAAGAAAAAGUUCAAUCUCUGAGGUAGGAAUUUUUCUUUCUGAAGGUUAGUCGACUAAAUUAGAGCUUCGAGUCGAACGCAAAAACAUUUUUUCGGUGGUCGUGAUUUCAACAAAGCUUUGAGUCCCAUUUUGCUACCCAACAUCCGAAAAUCGUUGCGGGGUCCGAGGGGACUUUACCUUUUCUCUGCAUACAUAACUGGCCAAUGAGUCCUAUCUCCUCGAGUCAACCUCAAAACCAAGUCCAAGAAUCCAUCACAUGGCAUACAAACGCAAGGAGUCGAAAGAAGAAGAAAAUGGAUUAAAGUUUCACCUUUGAAGCGGCUAAGUGACUCAAAAGUCUCAUUUGUUUUUUUUAUUUAUUCAAGUAUCAUUGUCUUUAUUUAUUUUGUUUAUUUAUUUUAUUCAUUCGUUUAUUCGGUUCACGAAGCCAAAGUUGUAUUUAAUAUAGGUGGAGCAAAAUUCGAGCCAAAGGAUCGAAAACUAGAUUACAGGUGAAAUGGGUCGAAGGCCCAAUUAGACUAGGACAGGUCUCAUUGAUUUGGGCUCAUUGGUGUAAAUCCCUUCCUUUCUCCCUUCCCCCUUUUUCUUUAAGCUUGUUUUCCU